GCAUUGGUGAUUCAGUGGUAGAAUUCUCACCUUCCAUGUGGGAGACCCAGGUUCGAUUCCCAGCCAAUGUA
rnacentral:tRNA from 1 species